GUGGGGAAUCUUGCGCAAUGGGCGAAAGCCUGACGCAGCCAUGCCGCGUGAAUGAUGAAGGUCUUAGGAUUGUAAAAUUCUUUCACCGGGGACGAUAAUGACGGUACUCGGAGAAGAAGCCCCGGCUAACUUCGUGCCAGCAGCCGCGGUAAUACGAAGGGGGCUAGCGUUGCUCGGAAUUACUGGGCGUAAAGGGCGCGUAGGCGGACAGUUUAGUCAGAGGUGAAAGCCCAGGGCUCAACCUUGGAAUUGCCUUUGAUACUGGCUGUCUUGAGUACGGGAGAGGUGAGUGGAACUCCGAGUGUAGAGGUGAAAUUCGUAGAUAUUCGGAAGAACACCAGUGGCGAAGGCGACUCACUGGCCCGUUACUGACGCUGAGGCGCGAAAGCGUGGGGAGCAAACAGGAUUAGAUACCCCAGUAGUCC
rnacentral:rRNA from 1 species